UCUGGUGCACGUAUUUCGUAGCACUCUGCGCUCUAAACUCUUUGCUCCGCAAGUGGUCCGGUUGCUUAUCACCCCAGCGUCUUCGGUUGCUAAGCGACGUCAGCUGAUCUGUAGUCUACUUCAUAUCGCCACUAGUACGGAUGAGUUUCACAUUAACUUUAUUUUUUUUUGGUAUAUAUGGUGCUUUCGAGUCUUGGCAAAUGGCUGAGUGAAGAAGGAAUAGCGAAACGGCGUCAGUUUGGCGAACUACUUCUCUGCUGAAAACGCUGUGAACGAUGGAGAAUCGUCCAACGGUAACUGCACCUAUCGGCAACUUUUUAUGCGUUUGUACCCUAAAGGUAAGGGGCAGAACACCAUGACCCGGCCUGUUACAAACCACACAACACCCACUGAAGUACGCCUGGAUGUACUCAUCUAUGCCAUUCUAGAUUUGAACGAGAAGGACCAGAAAUUUGUUUCAUACGUUUGGAUUGACAUGGCAUUAAUACAUGGAUUCACUCUGCCUGUGUCUGUGAUGUGUCUGCUGGUAAAACAUCACCCGAAAUGCUGCCAUUGCCCCAAGAGGGAAGCAGCAGCCAGCUGAUGGAGGAGUCCAAUGACUCUGAAAAGUUGGGGGAGUUGGUGAAACCACCAUUUCUGCCCCUCAACCUCAAGAAGGAAGAAGCGAAGCCUGCUGGCUACUGGAGGAGAGUGUGUAAAAGAAUCAACACGGUUUUCUUCAUUUUCUAUAUCAUAGCUGCCAGUGUGUUUUUAGUUUAUAUGGCUGUCUGUUGGAAUGAAGAAUAGUUCUAGAAAAUGACACGUCAAGAAGGUGUUGGUUUUACUCUGAACCCACAGGGGAAUAUCAAAACAAAAUGUCUUCAGAUGAGUAACAAUGUGUCACCCUGCAGCUCAAGAUGAAACUGUUGUGAUUAUAAAGUCUCUGCCCCGAACUUUGGUGUCUGAACAUACGUUACUAACCAAACAUGUAACACUCACUCAUCCAGCCUAAAUACGCAUCCCUCAUAAUCCCAAAUAAUAAAAGUUGUAGACUAAUGUC